UAACACGUGGGGAACCUGCCCCAUAGUCUGGGAUACCACUUGGAAACAGGUGCUAAUACCGGAUAAGAAAGCGGAUCGCAUGAUCAGCUUUUAAAAGGCGGCGUAAGCUGUUGCUAUGGGAUGGCCCCGCGGUGCAUUAGCUAGUUGGUAAGGUAAAGGCUUACCAAGGCGAUGAUGCAUAGCCGAGUUGAGAGACCGAUCGGCCACAUUGGGACUGAGACACGGCCCAAACUCCUACGGGAGGCAGCAGCG
rnacentral:rRNA from 1 species